rnacentral:rRNA from 1 species
AGAAUCAACGCUGGCGGCGUGCCUAACACAUGCAAGUCGCACGAGAAAGUGGAGCAAUCUAUGAGUAAAGUGGCGCACGGGUGAGUAACACGUGAAUCAUCUACCUCCGAGUGGGGAAUAACCUAGAGAAAUCUGGGCUAAUACCGCAUAACACUUACGAGUCAAAGCAGCAAUGCGCUUGGAGAGGAGUUCGCGGCCGAUUAGCUAGUUGGCGGGGUAAUGGCCCACCAAGGCGAUGAUCGGUA